rnacentral:rRNA from 1 species
UGCCAGCAGCCGCGGUAAUACGGGGGAUGCAAGCGUUAUUCGGAAUCAUUGGGCGUAAAGGGCACGCAGGCGGUCUUAUCAGUCAGAUGUGAAAGCCCGGGGCUCAACCCCGGACGUGCAUUUGAAACAGUAAGACUUGAGUACGGGAGAGGAAAGCGGAAUUCCUGGUGUAGAGGUGAAAUUCGUAGAUAUCAGGAGGAACACCGGUGGCGAAGGCGGCUUUCUGGACCGAUACUGACGCUGAGGUGCGAAGGCGUGGGGAGCGAACAGGAUUAGAUA